AGAUGUUUUAGCUGUCCUCACUAUUUCUGUAAAAUAGUGUAUGAAUAAUUAAUGAGGACUUAUUUGGGUGUGUAUAUUGUCUAGAAGACAAUAUUUGUAUUCAAACUCACAGUUGUAUUGUCGUAUUCUACACGACAUCUGUAUUGUCAAAGUUGUAGUUUGCUUUCUAUACCAUGUAUUUUGGCGACUCAGAAUGGGUGUUGUAUACCUAUUUUGGGGGCGUCACAACGGCUGCCGGCGAGGAGAGGGACGGGACGAGUGGGAGAAGGGAAGAACAGCACAACAGCAGAAAGAGAGAGGAAAAAACUUAAUCAGCAGCAGUAGAAGUAAAGUGCGCUGCUGAUAGCGAAUAGGUUUUAAGGCUUAUUUCCGACGGAAUUCCGUCGAGGUUAGUUCCAUCGACAAUAAGGUAACCUCGAAGCACAAUCCGUUGACUUUAAUAUCAAUUCGAUCGAGGUUGUUAUUGGCGCUGGAGGGAAACUUUCGCGCCACAAGCAUGGUAUAAGAUCGACUGAAUUUCGUCGAAUUUGUUCUAUUCUCGAGGGAUUUAUGAACGAAUGAAUAUUCCGUCAGGAAUAUAUUAAUUCCGAGCUAAUAUAUUCAGUCGACCUUAAUUCCGUCGGAAUAGUCCUAUUUCUUAUAAUGUUUCUUUGUGCUUUGCAAAUAAGGG
rnacentral:lncRNA from 1 species